AUAAAAUGGAACUAAUUACCCACUGCUUGCAAUAUGUUUCCCAUAUAUUUACUAUAAUAUAGUGUUGGAUUUUUGUCUUUUUCUAGCAGAUUAAGAUAUGUGGGGAUACCAUGCAGAAUGCAUUACUGGAAUAGACCUAUGCCAAAUUUGAAGUUGAGAGGCUGUCUCAGGUGCAGCAUUCAGUGCCCUGCGUGCACACCCUCCAUGUUGGCUUUUGCAGUGGAUGGGAUCCGUAAACUAUACGGCUUUAAGAGCCAACCAGGGAUUCUGAGGUGUCUUCCUUGGUUGACUACAUCCAUGAGACGACAAAACACACUGUGCAAAGGACCUUGAGAACAUCACCACUCUACAGGAAGACACAGUCCAGUAAUGGGUGUCAGAUGUUCAGCAGUGGACGACAGGUACUGUGGAAAAAAUGACCAACCAAUCAAAAUGACUUACAGAACGCCAUUGAGGACUCUAUUUGAGCAUUAAGCAGCAAAGAUUUCAGCUGUAUCGUCAGGCUGGCAGUACUGAGGCAUUUACGGAGACGGGACAUGAGGGUCUACUCUGCGUGCUCAAGAGAAGAUUGCACAAAGUUCAAGCUCAGCAGGCUGCAGUGGGUCCGACAUAUUCUGGAACGCCAACAAUGUCUUUGGAUGACUCCUCCUCUGAAGAGGAAAACAUGGAGAGUUACUUCUUCGCUGCUCAAGAACUGCGAGUGCUGUGAUUAGUUCUUCUCAAGUGAAGCUGUACCACUGUGCUCCAGCUCCACACUCCCUCCUGCAGCCUCCGCUCCUGAUGCUAACCUCCUGUCUCCAUCACACCAAGCAGCAAACCUGGAGUGACAGAACUUUCUCCAUAGCUGCCCCCUCCCUCUGAAACCCCCUCUCCCAAACACUAUUUUUGUAUUUUUUUGCAUGAGAAUUGUUGAUCAUAUCAUUUCCAGCAACUGCCUUAAUGUAAUUUUUGUGCAUAAUAAAUGACAUUGAUCAUAA